rnacentral:rRNA from 1 species
UACGUAGGGGGCGAGCGUUGUCCGGAAUCAUUGGGCGUAAAGCGCGUGUAGGCGGCUUGGUAAGUCCGGUGUGAGACCUUGGGGCUCAACCCCAAGCCUGCACUGGAUACUGCCUCGCUUGAGUCCGGGAGGGGAGAGCGGAAUUCCUAGUGUAGCGGUGAAAUGCGCAGAUAUUAGGAAGAACACCGGUGGCGAAGGCGGCUCUCUGGAACGGUACUGACGCUGAGACGCGAAAGCGUGGGGAGCGAACAGG